UACCUACAGAGAUCAGAGCUCACCUAGAGCAUCCUGGUCCUGCCCCUCUCUAGCUCAAACUCUCCUGGGCUUUCUAUAGGCCUUAGGAUCCAGCCUGCUCUGCACCUGGGCUUGCUGACCCUUGGGUCGAGCUGUGGACACUCCCCUCCCUCCUUCAAGGGGACUUGCCUUUCCUCAGACACAUUUACUCCUUCUGCAUGGUGUUGCCCUUUCACCAAGACUAGCCCUCCCUGCUGGGUUCCUGUCUGGCUUAUCUGCUCUUUCAUCAGGGUGUAACUCCACAAAACUGACCCAUAUCUGUCUUGUUCACCACAGGACCUUGUGUAUAGAUGCUUAAUAAACAUAUGCUGGAUGGAUGGCUAGAGAUGUGUCCUUAUAACUGGACCAUAUAACUGUUAGGUUGUAAGCUGUCCAAGAGCCAGUCCAUAUAUCCAGAAAUGAGCUCAAGCAGGACUGAAGAGCAGCUCUGGAUACAGGGACUGCCUGAGUCCUAACAGUCACAAACUGCAGGUCUCAGAGAGGACGGUAGGCAGCAGUGUCUCAACUACACUAGGCACCUGAGCCAGGCAUAGCCCACACAGGUAGCUCUCUCUCUCAGGAGGUAAGGACUGCUGCAGUGUAGGGAGGGGACAGGGGACAGGAUGAGGAAGGACUUGCCUGAGGCAACCUAAGAGACUGUGAAAAGAGUGGGGGUGGGGGGAACCUGGGAUGUGAUAGAGGUGGAGACAGGAGAGAGACUGGGAGAGGAAGGGGCUGAUUAAGAGAUUGAAGGUGUUUGAGACAGGAGGAGUGAGGUGGAGAGUGGAAAGGAAAAGAGAGAGGGAGACAGGUGGCGUAAGAGAGGGGGAUGGGAGAGAAAUGGAACAAAGGAGGAAGAGAGGUAGGAAGGAGAGGUGCUUCCAGAAUAGUCCCACCUUCCCACUCCCAGGAAUCUUUGUUCCCAGAGCACCUCAGGCUUGGGGAAGCCGGGUGGGCCUUAAACAGGCUCUUAAACAGGCUCGCCUGGCAGGGUUCCUUAUCUCAGUGAGUCACCUCAGCAGGACCUAGCCCUUAUCUCUAACCAGCAGCUUCCUGGCCCAGAACACCCAGACCUGGGAGAACAGGUUUUGAGAGCUGGAACCUGUGCAGAGAGGAACAGAAGCCUGGCAGGUUACCCCAGGCUGAGGAGAGGGCUCUGUUGGGCUGUCAAUCUGCUUGCAGCCAGAGGGAGACAAGCACUAUCGUCUACACAGGACUAUAUAUACACAGGUGGAGGCCGUAGAUGCACUGCACCCUCACCUCCACUCUGAGAUGCACCCAGAGGCUGGCGAAGUGGAGACCCUGAGAUGGUGACAAUUUUUGUGCCUGGCUUGUAGAGACUGGCUCACAGGUGAGGUCCCCUGUCUGAGCGUCAGGAUUCAAACCCAGAGAUGGGAACCUUGGGAGUUGACUGGAGUAGAGGAUGCCAGGGAGCCAGAGCCUGAUCCCAGCCCCACGGAGCACCAGUGGCUUCAUGACAAGAGGAAGAGAUCGGGGUUAAUACAGCCACUGCAUCUUGUCACAUGAUGCUCUCUGCCAUAUGACGACUCAGCCCGACAAGACGCUUACCAGACACAUGGAAGAUGCCAGGAUAGUGCUCUUGGACUCCCCGAGAUUCAAUCUUAUAAACUAAAUACACUUCUAUUUAACAAGAAAUUUUUAAAUUAAUUAA